GCGAAUAUGUAGGUUGAGAAAAGAAGUAAAGAAAGAACCCGAUUUACCAGUUGAAACAAUCAAUAAACCAGAUCCCAGACAAUCGCAUCAAACUUACUUAGUCGAACGAUCGAAUAAUCGAAUAAUCGAAUAAUCGAAUUAUAUUUCCGAAAACAACCGAUAGAGCGCACGUCCAACAUUAAAUCAAUCAAUUAAGGCGCGUUAAGGAGCGAUGUGCAAAACCAAUAGUUGUCAUAUAAACGUAAUAGCCAUUCAACACCAAUCGAGCAUUAAACAAACAACAAAUGAUACUAGCCAUAGAAGCUUAAAACAGACAGAAGAAAACAUACCAACAAGAAGGCCCCGAUUAGGUCUGAAAAUAGGGCUGAAGAAUAAUUAAGGGCUGAAGAACAACCCGUGCAACCCAUGCAACCGUCACCCCGGUAUAUUAUCGGCAAGAAAACAGGAAAACAGGGAAACAUCAAGAAAAACAUCAAACCCAGCCUAAUGCAGCCUAAUGGUGACAAUUGCAGCAACCUUGUUCACCUUGGUAAUUUCAAUAUAUAUUAAGAAAUUAAGAGGAUAAUUGAAGCGUUGAGGCACCCAGUAAUGGCAAUAAGCUGGUCAACCAAUUAUACCAUGCGGAAUCGAGUGGAGAAAGGCCCCACAAUUCGGCCGGCAUCUGUAGCAGGUCAGGGGUAUGUAUAAAAUAUAGAAAUCAUGACCGACUCUGUGUCCAACGUGACUUAAUGCAAACACAUCAGGAAUGAAGACUGCCAUGACAACUCGGCCCCCAUCAGCAAAACAGAAGACAGGAGACUACAAAACGAGAGCCUGAUAUAACAGUUGUAACGCCCAUGGAGGCAAACAUCAAGAUCACAUAGGAAGGAAAGAGGAAAGCUAACAUGAAAUUGAUAUGACUCAACUGGACCAUGAUGCUGCUGGCGUCAGUCCAGGGAUCCAGCAGCGGCCAAAGGAUUUCAUCCAGACAAGCAGAAAUGCUACUUACUGAAAAUUUAUGAAGUUUACAAGACUAAGGGUAGCAGGCACAUUGACUGGCAACCUGAGUCCGACCGAGCCGCCAGAUGGGCAUAUCAGUUUGCAAGAAAUAAUCAAUAAUGUCAAUAUUUCAGCGCGAUACUUGAAAUGGAGUGCAACAAAAUGUUUAACCAUUAUAAAUAAAAUAAAGCUAAAUAGAUAGAUAACUAAUGGACAAGGAAUCAUUAAAUACUCAGCCGCAAUGAAUGACCAAACCUAGGCCUCGUAUGGGAUUCCGCCAAGAAAUGUACCCAUCAAGAGGACCAAAGGUCGACAACACAAAGUAGGAUAAUAAUAGGACAUUAAUAUAACAGUAACACUGAUGAUGCCGACCGUUAACAGAACACGUCAUAGGCAUUACUCAUGGGGUGAACUUAACUUAAAACCAUAUACUAAACCACCACUUAUCACCAACUAACAAUCAAUCAGUUACAGAGAAUGCCCGCGACAGCCAAAAGAACGAAGUGAAACCAUAAAGGAUGGCCGAUUACCCGUUCAUAGAUGCAGGAAGACGCACUGCCAGCUGCAAGAAGUCCCCUGUCAGCGACAGAACGCCACCGGUACACCAUGAAAUAUAAGUUCAAGAAAUUUAAGAGAGAUAGAUGGAUCAGACCAAAAGCAGCAACCUUGCCCGUUUGCGUCCCCAACCAACCGAGAGACACUCAUACGAGUCCGCAUUAUGACGAUAACAGCUCGCAUAACAAUUAAUCCGACAAAAUCGAACUCACAACCCAAAAGCUCAUGCACUUAUGGACCCAUAAACCUAUAAUUAAUAAAUUAAUAAAUCAAAAUUAACAAGUUCGCAGAUUCAGUGCACUAAUCGCAUUGCAGCAGGCAGCACACUGAUACCAAGCUGUAACCCCGCUUGUUACAUUUAGUAAUGAAAUAAAUAAAUAAAUAAAUAACAGACCAGGCAAGCAACUGACUAUUCGAAAUUAAAUACAGUACAAUGGCAGGAAGAGCCAAGCCGCACACUCCCAAGACCAGCGACAAGCUACAAUCAACGAUGCCUCAAGCGCAUCAUCAAAUACGCAACACAUAUCACACAUCCAAUAACACAAUGCAUACAAACAUGCAGCACGCGCGCGAACAUAAGCAUGCACACCCGUACGCAUAGGGCCAGCAAGGAGAGGGUACCCAACUGAGAUGUCACAGCAGGUAAUCCCAGGCUGGCAUAGAAAGUGACAGAUAAACCAUGGCAAAC